GACGAACGCUGGCGGCGUGCUUAACACAUGCAAGUCGAACGUGAUUUUUGUGGAAAUUCUUUCGGGAAUGGAAAUGAAAUGAAAGUGGCGAACGGGUGAGUAACACGUGAGCAACCUACCUUACACAGGGGGAUAGCCGUUGGAAACGACGAUUAAUACCGCAUGAGACCACAGAAUCGCAUGAUAUAGGGGUCAAAGAUUUAUCGGUGUAAGAAGGGCUCGCGUCUGAUUAGCUAGUUGGAAGGGUAAAGGCCUACCAAGGCGACGAUCAGUAGCCGGUCUGAGAGGAUGAACGGCCACAUUGGAACUGAGACACGGUCCAAACUCCUACGGGAGGCAGCAGUGGGGAAUAUUGCACAAUGGGGGGAACCCUGAUGCAGCGACGCCGCGUGAGCGAAGAAGGUUUUCGAAUCGUAAAGCUCUGUCCUAUGAGAAGAUAAUGACGCUAUCAUAGGAGGAAGCCCCGGCUAAAUACGUG
rnacentral:rRNA from 1 species